AUGAACGCUAGCUACAGGCUUAACACAUGCAAGUCGAGGGGAAACGAUAGAGAAAGCUUGCUUUUUCUAGGCGUCGACCGGCGCACGGGUGAGUAACGCGUAUCCAACCUGCCCAUCACUUGGGGAUAACCUUGCGAAAGUAAGACUAAUACCCAAUGAUAUCCGUCGAAGACAUCUGAAGUGGAUUAAAGAUUUAUCGGUGAUGGAUGGGGAUGCGUCUGAUUAGCUUGUUGGCGGGGUAACGGCCCACCAAGGCGACGAUCAGUAGGGGUUCUGAGAGGAAGGUCCCCCACAUUGGAACUGAGACACGGUCCAAACUCCUACGGGAGGCAGCAGUGAGGAAUAUUGGUCAAUGGACGAGAGUCUGAACCAGCCAAGUAGCGUGCAGGAUGACGGCCCUAUGGGUUGUAAACUGCUUUUAUAAGGGAAUAAAGUGAGCCUCGUGAGGCUUUUUGCAUGUACCUUAUGAAUAAGGACCGGCUAAUUCCGUGCCAGCAGCCGCGGUAAUACGGAAGGUCCGGGCGUUAUCCGGAUUUAUUGGGUUUAAAGGGAGCGUAGGCCGGAGAUUAAGCGUGUUGUGAAAUGUAGAUGCUCAACAUCUGAACUGCAGCGCGAACUGGUUUCCUUGAGUACGCACAAAGUGGGCGGAAUUCGUGGUGUAGCGGUGAAAUGCUUAGAUAUCACGAAGAACUCCGAUUGCGAAGGCAGCUCACUGGAGCGCAACUGACGCUGAAGCUCGAAAGUGCGGGUAUCGAACAGGAUUAGAUACCCUGGUAGUCCGCACGGUAAACGAUGGAUGCCCGCUGUUGGUCUGAAUAGGUCAGCGGCCAAGCGAAAGCAUUAAGCAUCCCACCUGGGGAGUACGCCGGCAACGGUGAAACUCAAAGGAAUUGACGGAA
rnacentral:rRNA from 1 species